GUGCGGUAUGAUUUUUUCGGAGAUCAGAGAGCGGCGUACGGGUGCGUAACACGUGUGUAACCUGCCUUUAUCAGGGGGAUAGCUCGGAGAAAUUCGGAUUAAUACCCCAUAAUAUAAUCUGUGGCAUCACAGAUUGUUGAAAACUACGGUGGAUAGAGAUGGGCACGCGCAAGAUUAGCUUGUUGGAGAGGUAACGGCUCACCAAGGCAUUGAUCUUUAGGGGGCCUGAGAGGGUGAACCCCCACACUGGUACUGAGACACGGACCAGACUCCUACGGGAGGCAGCAGUGAGGAAUAUUGGACAAUGGGUGAGAGCCUGAUCCAGCCAUCCCGCGUGAAGGACGAAGGCCUUAUGGGUUGUAAACUUCUUUUGUACGGGGAUAAACCUGUCUACGUGUAGACAGCUGAAGGUACCGUACGAAUAAGCACCGGCUAACUCCGUGCCAGCAGCCGCGGUAAUACGGAGGGUGCGAGCGUUAUCCGGAUUUAUUGGGUUUAAAGGGUCCGUAGGCGGGUCGGUAAGUCAGUGGUGAAAUGUUACAGCUUAACUGUAUCACUGCCGUUGAUACUGUCGAUCUUGAGUAGGCUUGAGGCAGCCGGAAUAAGUAGUGUAGCGGUGAAAUGCAUAGAUAUUACUUAGAACACCAAUUGCGAAGGCAGGUUGCCAAAUCUUAACUGACGCUGAUGGACGAAAGCGUGGGUAGCGAACAGGAUUAGAUACCCUGGUAGUCCACGCCCUAAACGAUGAUUACUCGUUUUUGGGGGUUUUAGAUCCUCAGAGACUAAGCGAAAGUGAUAAGUAAUCCACCUGGGGAGUACGUUCGCAAGAAUGAAACUCAAAGGAAUUGACGGGGGCCCGCACAAGCGGUGGAGCAUGUGGUUUAAUUCGAUGAUACGCGAGGAACCUUACCAAGGCUUAAAUGGGGAUUGACAGGCGCGGAAACGUGUUUUUCUUCGGACAAUCUUCAAGGUGCUGCAUGGUUGUCGUCAGCUCGUGCCGUGAGGUGUUAGGUUAAGUCCUGCAACGAGCGCAACCCCUGUCACCAGUUGCUAACAUUUAGUUGAGGACUCUGGUGAGACUGCCUACGCAAGUAGAGAGGAAGGCGGGGAUGACGUCAAAUCAUCACGGCCCUUACGUCUUGGGCUACACACGUGCUACAAUGGCCGGUACAGAGGGCAGCCACAUAGUGAUAUGGAGCGAAUCCUAAAAACCGGUCUCAGUUCGGAUUGGAGUCUGCAACUCGACUCUAUGAAGCUGGAAUCGCUAGUAAUCGCGCAUCAGCCAUGGCGCGGUGAAUACGUUCUCGGGC
rnacentral:rRNA from 1 species